GAGUGUGAUGCCAAAACCGAUGUUACCAUUAAAUGUGAGAUGAAAGAACAUCCAGAGGUUUUGACGCUGCUGCUGAAGAGGUUUGAGUUUGACUAUAAUUGCAUGGAUUAUAUCAAAAUCUGCUGUCCUGUGACUGUUCCUCCCACCCUGCAGAUACCAGAGAAUCAGAUGUAUGAGUUAUACGCAGUUGUGGACCAUUUUGGGACUCUCAGAGGUGGACACUACACUGCGACAAUCAAGUCUCAGGACGAUGACCGCUGGUAUAAAUUUAAUGACACCUGUGUCACACCGAUGCAUGAACAGCCAUUUCAGGAUGGCAC